UUAUAAUACGAUAAUAAUUUUAAGUGAUAUGUUACAAAAAAAAGUGAUAACGACAAUAAUCUUAGACUAAUAUAUACCAUUUAGGCAAUUUUAAACACAUAAAAGAAUUUAUUUUUGCUUUGCAUAAUAUUUCUAAAGCAAAAGUACAUACUAUCAUUUUCAAUUUAGGACCAUUUAUCUUCUUUUUUAAUGGAAAUUUGGGCCUCACCACAUAACCAUUUCUCUAUAUAUACAUCCACCCUACUUAAACCCUAACACACAUAUGCACUUAAAUUCUCAUCAUUUUCCCAUAAAUAAAAAAACACCAUGUCCUUCACCACAAACC
rnacentral:lncRNA from 1 species